UACGAAGGGGGCUAGCGUUGUUCGGAAUUACUGGGCGUAAAGCGCGCGCAGGCGGCUAUCCAAGUCAGUGGUGAAAGCCCGGAGCUCAACUCCGGAACUGCCAUUGAAACUGUUUAGCUUGAGGACGAGAGAGGUGAGUGGAAUUCCCGAGUGUAGAGGUGAAAUUCGUAGAUAUUGGAAGAACACCAGUGGCGAAGGCGGCUCACUGGACCGGUAUUGACGCUGAGGUGCGAAAGCGUGGGGAGCAAACAGG
rnacentral:rRNA from 1 species